rnacentral:pre_miRNA from 1 species
GUGGCUGGCGGCUGGGUGCCUUCUACUGGUGCUGUGCAGAGGCUUUCCCUAAGGCUGCUGUGAGCCUGUAAAGUUUCCCCCUAGGCUACUAAGCUGG